rnacentral:rRNA from 1 species
GCGGGGGCACGGGGGGCCUACGGGAGGCAGCAGUGGGGAAUAUUGCACAAUGGGGGAAAGCCUGAUGCAGCCAUGCCGCGUGUAUGAAGAAGGCCUUCGGGUUGUAAAGCACUUUCAGUUGUGAGGAAAGUUUAGUAGUUAAUACCUGCUAGUUGUGACGUUAGCAACAGAAGAAGCACCGGCUAACUCCGUGCCAGCAGCCGCGGUAAUACGGAGGGUGCGAGCGUUAAUCGGAAUUACUGGGCGUAAAGCGCACGCAGGCGGUUUGUUAAGUUAGAUGUGAAAGCCCCGGGCUCAACGUGGGAGGGUCAUUUAGAACUGGCAGACUAGAGUCUUGGAGAGGGGAGUGGAAUUUCAGGUGUAGCGGUGAAAUGCGUAGAGAUCUGGAGGAACAUCAAUGGCGAAGGCAACUCCCUGGCCAAAGACUGACACUCAUGUGCGAAAGUGUGGGUAGCGAACAGGAUUAGAUACCCUGGUAGUCCACACCGUAAACGCUGUCUACUAGCAGUUUGUGGCUUUAAUCCGUGAGUAGCGAAGCUAACGCGAUAAGUAGA